AGAAUGGAUACGUGGUACCAAAACAGUGGCUUUUAUUGACUCAGGCUGCCCACUGCCUGCUGUCAAGGAGACGGUUGAAAGAGAGGUUUUCCCCGAUGCCAGAUGGUAUGCGGCCCUGGUUUUACUGUGUUAACAUUUGCGGCCAGCCCGUGACACUCCGCAAACUUGGCAAAGGGCUUUCUAGUCUCCCUCUGGUAAAUUCUUUCCUGUUGAAGUACUAAGAACAUUAAUAUACGCUUUUAAAAAAAGAAUUAUAGAGGAAAGUGUGAUGUCUGCCAAGGAUCACAGGUGGGCUAUGCCUAUCCCAGGAGAGUUGCUCCCAUGAGAUUAAUGAGUAGUUAAAAAGAAUUUUUAAAAGCUUAAAAAAAGUGAGGGUGAUGAAAGUUAUUGCUUCUCUUUUCUUUGAAGAUUAUCUAAGCAAGAACCCAAAUUAUGGAGAAUGAAACAAACCGAUGAAAAACAGUGACAGAUUCAGCCCCCUGAUCUCUACCAUCAGUCCACCUGAAGUUUUCUAAGCCUGAGUGGAUGGAUGUUAGUGAGGAAAUCAACAGAAAUAAGAUAAGAUUCUACAUCACUUCAAAGAACCAUUUCUACAGGUCAUCAAUUGAGAACCCUUCUAUUAAAAUUAAAUAAAUGGCAGAUUCACUACAAGUGGGACAAAUAAAGGUAAAUCUCCCAUGUUCUAUCUAUUAAACCAAUGCCUACCACAUUAAUUUUAUUUUCUCCCCAUUCAAUUAGACAUUAUUCUAUGAUCUGGGUCAUGUAGACAUUUUGGAAUGCAACGUGACUUGGAAAAUACUGGUGGAUCGGCAGUCAACAUCUAUUUUAGUGCAAUGUGCUCUCCUGCAGGAGUUAGAAAACUAACUACAUUUUCCAAACUUCCUUGCAGCUUCUAGAUGCAUUUAAGUUUUGUCAAUCAGAUGCACUUGCAUGAGUUUUGGAAGGCAGGAUUUCAGCUGGGA